AGUCAAGCAAAGGUGAAAGCACUGUGCGUGACAGGCUUCAAGCAUGUGACCCUGGGGCCUGGGGGUCAGUACCUCCCUACAGGAGGCUCCAGGGAACAUUAAGUAGGUGGUUACAGAUAUUUUCUUUCUUGGCGCAGGCAGCAUUGACACAACAGUGUACCUGAACUCCCAGGCAUACAAAUGCUGACUGCAUUUGCUUUGUUAUUUAUGGAGAUAGAGUCUCAUGUAUCCCAUGCUGGCCUCCAACUUGCUAUGUAGCUGAGGAUACCCCUGACUCUCACUCUUCCAGCUGCUGGGAUAACAUAAUCACACCACACAGCAUUUUGUGUGGUGCUGGGUGUCAGACCCAGGGCUCUGUGCAUGUUUGGCAAGCAUUCCACUAACCGAGCCACAUCCUAGUCUAAUAAUACUGAUUUUAGAAGUUAUUUACCUUUUAUAUGUUCAAAUACCAUAGAGAAUAAUAUUUUCACGAAAUUCCACAGCGUAUUAAACAAGAUUUUAAGAUAAUUUAUUCCAUUAUCUAACUAUAUGUGCACAUGUAGAAUACGUGUAAACCAUAUGAUUAUCAUGUAAUCUGGUUUCAUGUACACACACAUGUAUGUUUCCAUGUACACAUGUGUAUUUGUUUGAAAUAUCCCAGGGUUUGAACAAAAUGUACCCUGUAAUUACCUUGUGAGCAAUUUCUGUUUUCUUUUUUAUGCUUUUCUAUAUUACCAGAUGUUCCUUAAUGAACACUUUUAUAUUCACAAACAAAUUAAAUAAAAUCAAGCAUAUCUCCUUUCCUGUUUUGCCAACUCCAGCAGAUCUGGGAGGUGGAACUGGACUCCGAGAUGGGAUUCAGAGAACACCCCAACUCCAUCAAAGUGAGAUGGCUGCAGGGAAAAUGGCUUUGGUCUGGAACACCCAACCCUCUGCCCUUGGCUUUGUCCCUACAGAGCCCUGCAAGGGGAGCCCGGAGAGCCCUGUCCCAGGCAGACCUUUCUGAUUGCAGGGCUGACCUCCGGCCAUGUGCACCUCUCUGGGAACAGCUGCCUUCUGUAUUGCCCUGCCCAGCAUAGGAUUUUGGGUUCCGGUCUUGCUGGUCAUCCCGACUCCUCAAGGGUUAGAGGCAGUAGCACUGACAACACAGGUGGGAAGAGCCUGUGUCAGUGACUGAACAUAAGCCCAUCCACUUGUAACCCUGAAAGCUUAAGGAUAUUGUUUGGGGCAACCAAAGCUUUAGAUGAGGGAUAACUGCCUCAGAGAAUGUUGACCUGCAGUUGGUGAACUUAACCCCUUGUCUGGGCUUCCAGUUCUUAUAAUUUCAGUUCCCAUGAAUCUCUGGAUCCAGUAGCUGAUUAAGGUGGUUCGGGUUUAGGGUCUGGAUUCUUGUGGGCUCUGUGGCUAGGCUUUGAAGUUGACUGUGAGCGUCUCUCGGAACGGGACUCUGCCUUUAUUAAAAGCUGCUGGGGACCAGUGUUCACCACCCGCCCUCUCCUGCCUGCUGGUCUCACAAGGCUGCUGGGAGAGACACCGGGUGGCUCUGGUUUCUCUCCCCUCCCUGAUUGUUGGAGCAGAUUCUGUUAGCAGCCUGUGGGUAUAAAUAAGAGCCUGAAACUGUUAAAAAUAAUUUUUUUUAACCGUCUCAAAUAGGAAAGCUGAGGCACAGAAGGUUAAGGACACAGUGUGAUUCUGAGUUUCUAGUCAGCAGCAAAUGCCACGGUGUCUAGUCCUGGAGAACAGCCGGCCUCAGAGGCCAGGUUUAUGCCUAGUGUGAAGACAGCCCACAGUAUGCUCAGCUAGGUGUCCCUGAAGGGUAUAGGCUGGUCACUGGUUCUGCUCAGAGUCUCCAAUGAGGUCCCACUAUGUUUUGCUUUCUCUCUCUUUGUCUCUGUCUGUCUCUGUCUCCCUCUCUCCCUCUCUGUCUCUCCCUCUCUUCCUUCCUUCUCUUCCUCUCUCUCUCUCUCCCUCCCCAUCUCACUCCCCUUAUAUGGCAAGCAACCCUCUGAGUUAGUCUCUCAUCAGUGUGUGGUGCUGAAGUUAAUCCAUUACUUAUUUAUUAUGAGUAUGCGUAUGUGUGCAGGCCCAUGCCUGUCGCAUCAUGUGUGUGGAAGGUCAGAGGACAAUUUGGAGGAGUCUCUUUUCUCCCCGUACCAUGUAGGUUCCAAGAGGAUCAAGCUCCGAGCCUCAGGCUUCAAAUGGCAGCAAGCACCUUCACCAGAUCAACUCUCUGGAGGACCCAUACUGCUGCUGUCAUGUGAGAACAAGGGAUGUCUGGGAGUGUUGGCUUGUGCUUAUAAUCUCAUCACGCGGGAGGCCGGGAGUGAAGCAAUGCUACGUCUGAGGCCAGAGUGAUUGACAUGGGGAGCUGCAGGAUAGCCAGGGGUGUGUAGUGAGACUGUCUGGGCAGCCAGUGUGUGUGUGUGUGUGUGUGUAUUGGGAGGGGGGGUGCGGGGAGGGGCGACAGAAAUAGGAAGUGAAUGUGUAAUUCACUGGAAAUAAUGAAACAGGGCAUAGGAGCACGUGUCUAUAAUCCCAGCGCUCAGGCUGAGUCAGGAGGAUCACUCAAUCUAGGCUAGCCUGGGUUACAUAGUAAGACCAUAUGUUAAAAAUAAAAAAGAUUGGGCUGGCGAGAUGGCUCAGCGGGUAAGAGCACUGACUGCUCUUCCGAAGGUCCUGAGUUCAAAUCCCAGCAAUCACAUGGUGGCUCACAACCACCCAUAAUGAGAUCUGACGUCCUGCCCUCUUCUGGUGCAUCUGAAGACAGCUACAGUAUACUUAUUUAUAACAAUAAAUAAAUCUUUGGGCCAGAGCAAGCAGGGACUGAGCGAACAGAGUUGAUCAGAGCAAGCAGGGCUGACCAGAACAAGUGGGGUUAACCAGAGUGGGCAGAGGUCCUAAAAAUUUAAUUCCCAACAACCAUAUGAAGGCUCACAACCAUCUGUACCACUACAGUGCACUCAUAUACAUAAAAUAAAUAAAUAAAUCUUUAAAAAAAAAAGAAUGCAACUGACCCUGGGUCCCACUGUCAAUACAUAACCAUGAGGGUCAAGGGUGCUGGCUACUUACUGAGUGCCUAUUGCUUACUGAUCCACUGCCACCCCACACCCCCACUGGCUCCUAAGAAUACCUGCAGGCAGAAACUCUCAUCCCUUCACCUCCCCAAGGGAACCUGAGUCCCUGAGAUAGAGCAUCCACAAGGAGAGCAAGAAAUGAACUGGGUGGCUUCAGUCCCUAUAGUCCCACCAGUGCCACCACAGCCUCUCCCCUGUAAGACACAUAUUCUCUGAAAACAUAGUAAAUUAGCAUGGAAAAAUUGUUUUCUCAUCUACCCAGGAUUUGAAAUCCUUUCUGUAGGCAGAACUCAGUAACAGAAACACCAAUGAGAUACACUUGCAUUGUGGCAUUGUGAACCUACAGCCACAGUCAGGGAUGGGUGCUUAGUUCUCAGAGCCCAGAACAAGAUCAAAAGGCAGCUCUGAGCUAAAAAAUGAUUCAGGUUCCCGGGCAGGUGAUGGCUGACAAGUAUAGGUUCCUUUGUGCACGUGGCCCUGUGGAACUGAGUAUGCUGCACCCCUGCGUGACCAGCCCCAGGUAAGUAAUUAUUUUCCAUCUUUGUGGUCUUUCCCCAGCCCUACUUUUUUUUUUUUUUUUUUUUUUUUUUUUUUUUUUUUUUUAUGGACAGGUUCUUAUAUAACCCAGUUUAGCCUUGGACAGAUUAUGUAACCAAGAAUGACUCCUAACUGUCCUGUUUCUACCUCCCAAAUGAUGGGGUUAUAGGUGUGGCCAUCACUCCUGUUUGAUGCAAUGCUGGGGAUCAAACCCAGGGCUUCAAGCACACCAAAUAAAUACCCUACUAACUGAGCAUAUUCCCAGCCACCACCACCAUCAUCAUUUCUUCCCUCUUACAUGUUCCUCCUUUGUUUAUUUUUUAAGAAGUUUUUAAAGAUUUAUUUUAAUUUUUUAUGUGUAUAGUAUUUUGCCUGUAAGUAUGUCUGUGUCCCAUGUGUGUACAGUGCCCCUUGGAGACCAGAAUCAGGUGUUAGAUUCCCUGGAACUGUAGUUGCAGACAGUCAUAAGCCCUCAUGUGUGUGCUGGGAAUCAAACCCAGGUCCUCUGGAAGAGCAGCAGCCAGUGCUCUUGACCACUGAGCCAUCUCUCUGGCCUCAAGAUUUUUUUUUUUAUUUUAUCUUUUUAAAAGAUAAUAGCCAUGGCUGGGCUGAACCUUGCUGUGCAGUCCAGGCUGGCCUCAAACUCAGAUAUACCUGUUUCUGCCUCCUGGGUGCUGGGAUUAAAGGUAUGUGACAUCAUGCUCUAUUCUGGAGAUUCAUUUUUAAGUGUGCAUGUGUGUGUGUGUGUGUGUUUGCAUGUGUGUGUGUGUGUGUGUGUGUGUGUGUGUGUGUGUGCGCGCGCGCAUGCGUGCGCGCGUGCUCAGGCACUCAGGCACCUGAUGAGCCCAGAUGAGUAUGUCACAUACCCUGGAGCUGGAGUUAUAGGCAGUUGUGAUCUGCCUGGUGGGAAAACACAGGUCCUCUAGAAGAGCAGUGCCAGUUUUUACGCAUUUCUUUCUCCAGCCCACUUUGGUUUUGACAGUUUCUCACCACACAGCCCAGAGUGCCUCAAAGUCACAGCUUUUCUACUUUUGAUUCUGAAACACUGGGUUACAGGUCCUUUGGGACAAACUGAGCAUUUUGGAUGCAUUGAAAAAUAUACUGUGGGCUCACAGACACCGCUGUCCCUGUUGCCGCUUGCCACGGCCAUGGUCAGUCCCACAUCGGUGCUGAUGGUGUGAGCCUUUGCUGACAAAGUUCCAAAGACAACCAAAAAAACCAUUCAUGAUCUGAGCACCAGAGAGAAAACUUGGGCCCUAAGAGCUCCCUUUCAUAGCGUUAUUUCAGGAUUCACGGGCCAGGGUGGUGACUUCGCACACCAUAAUGGCACUGACAGCGGGUCCAUCUGCGGGGAGAGAUUUGAGGGUGAGAACUUUGUCCUGAAGCAUUCGGGUCCUGACAUCUUGUCCCUGGCAAGCACUGAGCAAUAUACAGUGCCCAGUUCCUCAUCUGCACUGCAAGGCUCGGGCAGCUAGAUGGCAAACAUAUGGGCUUUGGGAAGCUGAAAGAAGACCUGAACGUCACAGAAGCCAUUAGAGCGGUUUAGGAAUGGCAAGACCAGCAAGAAGGUCACCAUUGCCCACUGUGGGCGACUCUGAUUCUUCUGACUCUUGGGCAUCUUACCCACCAGACCAUUCCUUCUGUAGCUCAGGAGGGUGUCCCCACCAUACCUACCCCAUAGUCUCUGUUCCCACGGGGUCCCAUAUUUUCCUCAUUUGCCUCCGAGUCUUAAUAGUCCCCUGCAAAGUUAAGUUUAUGACUAUGGAUAAAAACUAAAUAAGGGGAAAAAAGGAAAUGAAAAUAUCAAAUGGGGUUCCCGGAAAGGAUGCCAGCAGAGAAAGCGGGCAGGCUUCCCCCUUAAAACGGAGCUUAACUCAGACUGAAUUCUCUUGAAAUGACCGCCCUGCUUCCAUGGAAUUUCCCCUGCUCUGCGGUGGAGUCAUUGCGGCAACUGUCUCGGGGCUUGUGGAUACAACUGGUUACUUUGAGAACAGUGGGAGGAGUCAUCCUGCACUCUUAGGACAGGAUUUCCAGCUUCGCUGGUAGGCAAUAACACCCCCACCCCCCACCUCCACACAUGAAGCCCGUGGGAACGCUGGGAACAUACUGUAAACCUGUGGAGGCCAAAGUGUCCCUGAGCUCUUAGGUGCCUCGCUUUCUUAACUAGCCCCUGGCUCCACCCACUGUGUCCCUAGUACCAUGCCAGGUAGGUUAGCCAGUAUCACUGCAGGCUCCUAUGCUAAGCUCUUCUAAGUGACCUGUGUAAACUGACUCUUUCACAAAGAACUGAAAUGAAGAGAUCCACUUAGCAGAGAGGUGCGGACAGGCCACCACCACUCACUUUUGUGGAAGAAAAAAACGCAUCCUUCCUUACCCCACCCUCACCACGUCCAGAUUGGGGUCUGGGCCCUUCUUAUUUUCCCCUUAGGAAAAAGACAAAACAAAACAAAAUC
rnacentral:lncRNA from 1 species